rnacentral:tRNA from 1 species
CCUUUGAUAGCUCAGUUGGUAGAGCGGAGGACUGUAGGAAGGUGAGAAUCAGCCAUCCUUAGGUCGCUGGUUCGAAUCCGGCUCAAAGGA